rnacentral:rRNA from 1 species
GACGAACGCUGGCGGCGUGCCUAAUACAUGCAAGUCGAACGCAUUUUCUUUCACCGUAGCUUGCUACACCGAAAGAAAAUGAGUGGCGAGCGGGUGAGUAACACGUGGGUAACCUGCCCAUCAGCGGGGGAUAACACUUGGAAAUAGGUGCUAAUACCGCAUAAUUCCAUUUACCGCAUGGUAGAUGGGUGAAAGGCGCUUUUGCGUCACUGAUGGAUGGACCCGCGGUGCAUUAGCUAGUUGGUGGGGUAACGGCCUACCAAGGCUGCGAUGCAUAGCCGACCUGAGAGGGUGAUCGGCCACACUGGGACUGAGACACGGCCCAGACUCCUACGGGAGGCAGCAGUAGGGAAUCUUCGGCAAUGGACGCAAGUCUGACCGAGCAACGCCGCGUGAGUGAAGAAGGUUUUCGGAUCGUAAAACUCUGUUGUUAGAGAAGAACAAGGAUGAGAGUGGAAAGUUCAUCCCUUGACGGUAGCUAACCAGAAAGCCACGGCUAACUACGUG